UUUGCUGUUUGUUGGUUGCUAAUAAUGCGGCAAUGAAAUAUUAAACAAAUAAACAAUUUUCUUGGUGUGAUAUCAAACUGAUUGAUUAAAGGCCAUUUCCCCUUUAAACAAAUCUAAGCUAAAAAAAUAAUAAGAUAAGCUCAUAUUUGGGGAUUAGUAAUUAACGUGGUCAACAUUGUUGUAUACUUGUAUUGUUGCAUGUGCAGUAUUGGCUCUAAAAAUGUUGUGACUUUCUUUAAAAUCCACCUGCUUUGAGAGACUGGCAGAUUUUAGAGGAUAAAACAAUCUGGUCUUCAAAAAGCCUUUGCUUGCCAGUUUUAUACUACAGUGGACAUGGCAACACUGGCUUUGGAUGAAAAAAAAAAUGUUUUCAUAGGUCAAAUUUUUCAAUGUUGAUGUAAUUCCCAAAUGUAACAAAGUUGAAAAUUUUCAAUUUUAAGAAUUUGGGGAGUUAUUUUGAAGACAAUGGGACAACCCUGUGAAGAAAGAAUAAACGUUAUGAAGAGGUAAAGGCAUGGUCAUGCAUUAAGUGGUUACCUCCUGAUACAGUCUGCUUUAAUAAAUUUUUGUAUCAGACUGUUUACAUGUUGAUUUUUUUCUUUGAAGUGAUGACUCGCUGUUGUAAUCAGUAGUGGACAUGCUGAGACAGAAGCAUUUCUUAUCACUCGCAGUUGACGGCUCUUUUUCCAACCUGCGACCCUUCACUUCAUGUCAUUCCCAACUUUCUCUUCCACUUUCUAACUUAGUGUUUCCCCUAGGAUUUUUUCCAGCAGCGGUGCGUCUGUGUCUGAAGGGGAUUUUCGCUGUUACCUCCACUCUCUCGCCUCUCAAGAAGCUAUGCCGUUACACUCAUGUUACAUUACCCACGCUACUAGCUAUAUUGACCGUGUAUAUAAUCUUGAACAUUACCCUUUACAUCAAUGGAGAAGGGUCCGAUGCGUUGUUGAUGACUCAAAACAAGUCAAAAAUAACGUCAUGUGUUGCUCACACAGUACGGGUAAAAAUCGUUGGUGGUACUCUGAUAUUAAUGCUACUGCUAUUGAUGCUACUCACUAUAUAGAACAGUGCGCCGCUGCUGAAUGAAUGCAACUUUUCCCACUGUUCUAUCCUCUUAUAUUUUUGUUUUCAUUUAUGAGCUUUUUAUGUAUGCUUGUUUUUGUGCCUCUGUGUUGUUUUCAUUUUUUCUUUUAUUUUUUUGCUACUACUGCCACAAUAAGUGGUUCACCAUCUUUGCUAUAUUAGGUCUUUUGUCAAGCAAAUGGGUAAUGGACUUCACUAUCUAACACUUUUCUAGUCCGCUGACCACUCAAAGUGUUCUUUCACUUCAUAUCACACUCACCCCUUCACACAUUCUGUACAUUCACACAGUGGUAGAAGAGGCUGCCAUGCAACGUUCCCAACAGCCCAUCGCACUAGUGAUCCUGAGGCUCAGAGUAUUAUCCAAGGACACUAGUUUCAUGCUUCUUUUUUUUCUCCUGCAAGAAAAGCUUUUUAUUGUGGAUCAGAUUUCAAAGUUAUAAGCCGUGAAAUGCCCCACAAAGUCAGCAAAAUAAAAUAUAACAUUAUAAAUUCAUUAGAUUUCAUAGAAUAUGGAUGUAUUUCUAGUGCAGGCAAAUAUCAAAAAUACAAAACAUAAAUGUCUAAAUGUCCUCUAGCGGUGCCUGAGUAAAAGAAGUGAGUAUUAUCUGCUCUGUCUUGCUUGGUAUGUCUCAGAGGGCUGUCUGUCAAGUUCCCUGUAGUAGUAGCGCCGCUCUGAUUGGUCCUCCUAAACCAAAGGCGGGAUUUUUUUGGCAGCUGUUGCUAUGGUGACGUAUCAUUGUAGUGUAAGUGUAUUCUGCUUUUCAGGAUUCAACCCACCAUCGGAAACCUGCUUUGUCACUCUCAUCACAGAAAACGUGAUCUUGUUUUUUUCUCUGCUUUAAAAUUCACAUUGAAUUCAGACGGGAAUGAAUAAGCGUGUGUUUUUUUUUCUUUCCAAGGAGGAAAGUGAGUAAGAGUGAAGCAGGUGGUGGGUGUCAGGCAAAACUGACAAAAGGCAGACAACAUAAGACGGAUAAAACAAGGAAUUUAGACGGGAGGAGAAAAAAAAGAUGAAUAGAGAAGGAAAAUGAGGAAAACAGAAGGCAGGGAGUAGAGAGAAGAGACAGGAGGCAGUAGAGCAGGAAGUUGAAACAACAGUGGGACUAAAAGUCAAGAACAAGCCGAAAAGAGAGGAGGGGAUUAAGGUGAAAAAAAGAAGGGAUAAUGUCCAACAGAAGAGAGCCAACAGUGUAAAAGGACACAGUGUAAAGAGACCUCAAAUUGAUCAUUUCAUCUAAUCUAUCCUGUGUGUACCUCACCACGCUUAUCUCAUCUCAGAAUUGGGCACGGUGUUUGGCCGAUCGAAAGUGUGAGCGAGGGGAAUGCACCUCUCCGCUCCAUCCGCCUCUAUUGUGUUUUUCUAUUAUCUUUACCCGCGUGUUGAUGCUUGCUGCAGUGAAAAUGCAGCAGCUUUUCCAGUCUUUUAGACACAACCAGCCCCCUCCUCCUUAACCUUAGUUAUCUCUCCCUCUAUCUGUCUCUUUGUCUUGUCUAUCUCCCAUCAAAAAAAACUGCAGCUCAGUAACAUGCACUCUCUCUUUGUUUCUCCCCUCAUCUCUUUGUCUUUUCCUGCUGCUUCAGUAUGUGCAGAUAAUGCACCAACACAGCUGUGGAGCACUUUUCCUCUUCUUUAGCAUCAUUUUUAUGUUAAUCUACUAAGAUAAGACAGUAUGAGAUUGGAUUUAUCUCCAAUCGUCCCCAAAUUAAGAAAAGCCCAAGGCUACUUCAACUUCAAUUGAAAUUGAUAAUGAUGAUGAGAGUAAUAAUAUAUCUCCAGGCCCACGAUGUGCAUCUUUCACUCAUUAGUAGAUAGAUUGGUUUUGUUUCAAACACACACGCAGAAACUGCAUUAAGCUGAUAAGCUAAGCAACAGCAGUACAUUCUCUCAGAUGGUCAAAGAGAGCAGGGAGAGGAACAAGAGGAGGCGGGUUAGUGUGUCUGAAAAGCCAAGGGACAGAAUGAGUACAACAAAAGAGAGAGUGUAUCACAAGCAUGUACAGGCGCUAACAGGGGUGGAAGUGGGAUAGAAGUGGAUAGAAGUGUGAGACAUUGUUCUGAAUCAUAAUGAAAUACCAGCCCAGAGUCUUGGCGUUGUAUAAAAGCUUGAAAAGACUGAAAGGUCUGUAAGCCUGUGAUAAAAUGUAGAUCCACUUCAAUAAUGUUUUUUUUUUUUUUUUCCAUCCCAAAUGAUAGCAUUUGAAAUUCUGUGACAGUUUCUGGCUGGUGUUUAAUACUAAGUCUGCUGUGAUGUGUAAAAUAAUAAAAUUUAAAAACUGGAGAAGUCAGCAGAAUGAAUGAACGUGGAGCUAAACGCUGCGCUGAGGGCAGCAAAAUAGAUGUCAGCUUUGACUUUGAGUGAUCCUUCAAAGAUGCCGUUGUUGAGAAGAAAACUUAUUCAAAAGUUAUUUAUUGUGUAGCGGUGGUUCGGGUAUCUCCAAAGUGACAUCGAGUAAUGAAACCAAUGUGUAAGGUAUGCCAGCGGGCGGUGCCUUAAAAAAAAGGCAGCACACCAGAUCUGUUUAAUCAUUUAAGAAGUACUUCCCAAGUGAUUAUGCGGAAAGCAUAUGCGAGUGGAGUCUGCACAGCCUGUCACUGCUGAUGCUGCUAACGGCACAAGUAGCAUUAGCAGUUUAGCCACAACGAGUGGUGCAGCCGUAGACAUUAUACACAUAGACGCCUCAUUACGUGCUGGGGCGUAAUACAGAGUCGCCGCCAUAUUGGAUGGGUCUCCCCACUCCAGACUUGCUCAAGAGCCAAAUGGGGUCAAUGGAGAAUGAGCAACUAUCCCCGUAUUUUUGCACUCUAAUGUUGAAAAACCCGACGCAGAUUACUUGAGCUCCAGUAGGCAGCGUCAGGCUUUGAGGCGUCUAAUCGUAUCAUCUAAUGUUUACAUCAUCUAAUGUUUACAUUUUAUGGCAUCUUUAUUAUUCCUGAGUCUUGCAUACCUGCGAAACACUCAGGACUGUUAAGUGGGUCACUUUAUGAUUUAAUAUUUAGCAAGAUUUGUUGUAUUGUUGAGUAAACAUUUUUUAUAAUUUUCUAUUUUUUUUUUUAAAUUUGCUUUAUUUACUUUGUAUGAUAAAAAAAGUUUGAACUAAUCUCUAGUUUUUUUUUCAGUUUUAAUAAUAGAUGCAUUAAAACUGGCGGUUUAAAAAUUAUUUAUUAAAAAUCGUGAUAAUAAUUGAGAUCAGACAAUAUGACAAAAUAUAUCAUCUUAGUUUUUUUUUUUGCCAUAUCGCUCAGGCCUACCACUGAUGCAAUAUGUAUGUUUUAAAAUAUGCAGUAAUUUAAGUAUGUAUGAAUGAUGUAUGGCCUAAGAGACACUGUGUAAAAUAGCUGCCAAGCAUUGAGUUAUUGAUGAUGAUUACGGUGAAAUAUUGGUAUGCUGAUGUGAAAGACUGACUGCAGUUAUAAGAAUGACCUGCAGCAGUGAUCCUUCUUGCAGCCAGGGAUCACGUAUGCCUACUGCAGUAUGAAAAAUGCAUUUACAAAGCUAGACCAGGGGAUCUCGUCUUGAUAAUGAAAAUGCUUGCUGGAAAAAUAUGUCUUUCUUUCCCAUCACCCUUCUCUAUAUCUCAUCAACGGCUUCAAGGCUGUAUUGAUUUACAGGCACGACUGUGUGUUGGUGCGUGAUGUUCGGCGGUCAAAAGGUCGAGCUGUAGGGGGGGAGAGGAGUUCAAAGAAAGUGGAUUUACCCAGACAUAUAGACAGAGAGCCGCCAGGUAUAAUUACACUAUCUUAAAGUGCCUCUCUCAACACCCACGCUCACUCACACUCACCAUGUAGGAUCCUUAAAAUGUGCGAAAUAACCCCAAAAAGGCGAUAAUGCAUUUCUUUCUUGGAGCAGGGGAAGGCAGGGUCAGCAGUCCAGCGCUCCCCAGGGACAAUGCAUCAUGCCAGGGAUGAGCUUGUCAGUGGACCCUCCCUGUCUCCAGGAGCUCCAUCUCCUUGCAAGAGCAUUUAGUAUUCAGAUAUGUUUUUAGGUCAUAGUGCUUGUGUUGUGUUUGCUGUUUAGCAGCUGCGUUGCUACCCCUAAUGAGCUUUUUUUUGUUGUUGUUUUCUGUGUGUUUGAGCUGCGUUUGUGUAUUCCCUGCUGUUCUGCGCUGUUCCCCUUCAGUCAAGCUCUGCAUGAACAACACAGGAGUCCUCAUGCUUCUGCUGAUCACAUUAGCGUCUAAACGAUGGCUGGAAUGACGAAAAACUCUUACACGUACACACACACAUAAAGCAUUUCAUACAAAUGUCUCUGAGGCAACAACAAACACUUGCAUCAACCUGCGCGAGUAGGAAUUAUUCUCUGCAGGUAGAUUCUUAAACACACAAAGUCUUCACAUGUUAAAUCUGGCUCUCAAAUAAAGACGUGCAAGAGUGCAUGCAUGGGUGCACAUACAUGCAAAGAGUGCACAUCUGUGCGUGUUGUAAUAUGAAAGAGUAAUGCAGAGAUGGAUGAAUAAAUAAAAGAUCUGGGAAACCCAUCAGCAUCUUGCACUAGGUUGUCAUGGCAAUGCAGCCGGCACAGUACAGCAUGUGAGGGAAAGAAAGAGAGAUAGUGAUCAUAUCACUGCAAUGUUUCAGCAUGUAUGUCUAACUUUGUUGCAGAUAAGGUUUCUCUCUACAAAGAACAGCUCCUUGUCUUGAUGCUUAUGUAUUCUGCAGUAUAUAAUGUCAUCUUGAUGCACUUCAGAGAGGAAACAUAUUUAGUGGAGAUAUCUCUGUUUACAGAUUUUAUACAUUAUUAUCGAACCCGUAGGCGGGGGUCUGGAUUUCAGUAUCCAGAGUGACACAGUGUUCUGAUUUUACUGUAAAUCAGAGUAGUAACCACUAACAUUUUGGCAUGCUUUGUAGUAUACAGGGAAAACAGGAGAAACAGUUUGCAUUGUGAGCAAAAUUAGGAAACAAAAUCCACCAUAAUGGCAUUUGAGCCAAAGAUCAAUCAGUUCAACUUGUGAGUGAUAGUCUGACUGAUCUUUUGUCGUGAAUGCCGAUCAGUGUUCAAGCUUCCUAAUUCCCAACAGAAACAAUCAAUCCGAGCAAUCAAAAGUCAGCUAUUGUGUCAUUCAAAAGCACACCUGUGGAGUAUUUCAGGUCUUGAAAUGCAAUGUCUUCAUUAUGUUGGCACUGAUAACCCUGCAGUUUACAUUUCUUAAUAUAGAUGCUGUUUUUUAAGAGCCAUAUUUUGACUCUAAAUCACACAAUAAUUGGUUACUCAUUGGGGUUUAUACGGCUGGAGUGAGCCAAAGGAAGGCCUCUGUGUGACUUAUUCACAGUAAAACUAAUACUCACCGGAAACAUAUGAACAGGAAGUACUCUGGGGUAGUGUCGCAAAGAUUCACCAACAUUUCUGGUAUUUUUUGGUUAGGUUUAAUCCAAAUGGUAAAUAAUGAAAAAUUCUCCUGACAUUCAGCACCUGAAGUAGGUUAAAUUGUCGUCUGAGAAAGCAGCAUUUUCUGCACUGAGAAGAUAAAAUAUAAUUCCCUGCAUCUCCACAAGCUAGCAGUAUCAGCAAGAAAAGAAUUAGAGAAUGUCAAAACUAAAUUAAGAGAGAAAAGCACUGCUUCUUCCUCAACAUGUCCAAUCCCUCCUACAGUAGUGAGUCAUUUCUUUAAACUUCCAUAUCCUGUUUGGCUAUUGGAGUUUCCUGUGGGACUCUUUUACCGACAGAGGAUAAACCAACUGCCUUAUCAGCUUACCUGUCUGCAAGAGAUGCUACAAAACAGUAUUGUGUCAGUAAAUAUAUACAUUAAAGACAGACGCUCAGAUCUCUCCAAGCCAUGGUCGGCAUACAAGUUAAUAGCCUAGCCUGCUAGCCAGAUGCUAAUUUAGGAAAUUGCGGAAAAAACUAAGUGCGGUACUUUUCCAAAAAUCUCAUAUUACUGAAAUAUAAAUACAUCAUGAAGUUCAAAUAUGGCUAACCCUUGUAGACACCUAAAAGUUCCCCCCUACAAGCAGAGGUACUGUUGUAUCUUGGUCAGGAUACAGCUGAAGGUCUCUGUGAUUGUAAUUGGAGUGACUUGACAGGCACAUCUUUACACUUCUAGAUUAGAGAGGUGUUCUAUUUUUCAGCUUUAUGUAAAGAGUUAAAGUGGCCCUGAUGGUUUUGACCCUUCCUCUUGUUUCAAAUAAGCAGCUCCACACUUGUUAGGUCUACCAUUUUUGUGCAAGUGUGUUUUUGUAUGCUCUGCGUGUAGACCAGGAUAUGCUUUUACAGCAGCAGAGUAUAAUGGACAGAGCCUGAUACUUAACUGCAUCUCUGUAGGGACCAGAAAAACUGCAGCCUCUUCUCUCUGGUUCUCUUCCUCUCUCUGCUCUGCAGCACGUGUCUCUGCUUUGUCUACAAAAUGGGCCUAUAUGCAGCGGAGUAAGAGAGUGUGUGUGUGUGUGUGUGUGGAAGAGAGAGAGUGCAUAGGUGUGCAGAUAAGUGCUCUGGGAGAAAAGAGUUAUAGCAACCCAGUUUUACAGCAGAGUACUGAUUGACGGCUGAUGGUGAGGAAAAGUGCAAGCUGAAAUGAAAGUGCAUGUGCAAAGCAACUUCAAACAGGCGUGUGUUGCAAUUUCAGCCCUUGUGCGAGUUUGCAUGUGUGUGUUUGUGUGUUAAUGUGAGAGUGGGUUAGAGUGAGGUAGAGAGAGAAGUCUAGGACAGUGGGAUUCUUUCAGCGAAUAGGCUCUAGCUAGAAACUCUACCUGGUUACUAGGCAACAGAACAGCAGUGCUGCACAUCGGAGCAUUGGGGAGGGGGCUGGUGUGUUACUCUGAGUGUUUGUACGUGUAUAUGUUUGUGUGUGCGUGUGUGCACCCAUAUCUGAUUGCUGAGUCAAUAUCUAUAUUAUUUAUGACUUUUUUAGUGUGUGGUGUGACACAGAGAGAGAGGGGGGAGGGGAAACAGGGUAAUUUAAGGCAGUGUGUAAAUUUCAGUGUGUGUGUGUGUCAUUGACUGAUAUAAAGGUGGACAUUGCACCCUCAUUUCCCACUGCUGUACAAAUAUAAGGCCAACUUACUUUCCUCCAUGAUGGGGCUGACCUACUGUAGAUUUGAAGCCAGAUUCAGAGGGAUCAGUUGGCAUCGACAUCCCAACCCUCUACUUUAAAACCACAUCAAAGCUUUUCAUGUAGGGACAAAAAACCUUCAGCAUCACAGCUUAAGUUUGUUUGAAGCAGACGUUCGGAUGGGGCUUCAAAUUUAAAGGAACAUUGUGUAGAAUUUAGUUGCACAGAAAUAGAAUACAGUGUUCAUAAGUAUGUUCAAAUAAGUGUUUUAAUCUCUUGGAUGUUAAUAUUGUUUCAUUUUGAAUGACUUCUGGUAGGGCUGGGCAAUAUGGCCGCAAGUCAAUAUCAUGAUAUAUUGAGCAGUUCACGUCGAUAACGAUAAAUGGACAAUAACUACUCCACAAGCUGCUUACCCCCCUCCCACAUUAACUUCGUCUACUUCAGCCGCUACAACUUUUGAACCGUCCUCCAUCUCCUCACCUGUCUCUCCCUCUUUGUUACAGACUAGAUGGGGUGGGGUCACAUGGAGUCAUGAGACCAUAGCCUAUCUACACACAUCCAAAACCAACUUUUAUUUUUUUAAUUAUUUUUGACACCGAAUAUACCGAUAUGGGCAAAAUGACGUCGGAUAUUGUCGUAAAUUUCGGUAUCUGUAAAUUUUUGGUUUAUUAUAAAAUAUUUUCUUGAGUAAAAGUCAAAUUGCUACAAAGGCAUUUUGAAUGUCCGUCCAGCAAUCUUAAAAAGAAAUCAAAAAAAUCCAAAGUAAAUAUUGUGAUUCCAAAUGUUAAAGUCAGGUAUAAAUCCAUUUCAUACAGCUUCACAGACAGGACAGGUGAGCAGUUUUGCUAAUUAUUCUAAAUUUUCCUAUUUGUACUCAUUUCAAUCACGGUCACAUUUUUGCUUUCUUCGAAUAUAUGUAAAUAAAUAUAUUACAUAAAUGUGGAAUAUGCUAGAAGCUACAGUCUUUGCUCUGUGACCCAGUCAGAGGACUCUUUUUUACUUUCUAUUCCCAAUACUGGGAAUAAAUUUUGGUCUGGGAGAGUAAGUCUCUUUCAAUGUUUUUAACGGUAAAUUGAAGCUAUCGCAAGAAGAUGCAUUAGGGUUCGAUGCUUUGACUGGUUAUGUGUUUUAUGCCUGUAACUUUGUUGAAAUGUGCUGCCAGCCAGAAGGGGGAGCUCUGAAUGAUAAUGGGAGCUCUCCAUCUUUUUAAUCCGUCUUCGCUGAGUAUAGAGCGACCUUAUGUGCAGGUGUGAGUCUAAUAUUUAAAAGUCUAUUGAAAAAGCUUUGGCAGUAGCUAAAACGGCAUGAGAUAUUUAUCACCUGAGGGGAGAUGUUAAAUCCGCACUGUGCUUUCAAAGCUGCUGCUGAACUCGGCCUUACUUUGAAACAGUCGCUGCUGAAGUGCUCAUGGAGGGAAGCAGCACGUGCCUGAGAGAGAUGGAGAAGCAGACAGACAGAAAGAGAGAGGGGUAGAAGAAAAAAUAAGACGGGCUUGUUGACCUCGCAUUCAUGCUGCUCAUAUCUGAUUUUUUUGGGUGACUUCAGAUCAGUUGGAGGCUGAAACCGGCACCAAAUUGAACUGACAGUGAACUCACAAACUGACAUGAGGAGAAGUCAUG